GCCUAGUUAGCUUAGUUGGAGUUGGUAGUGCGUCUGCCUUGUAAGCGCUAGGCCGCGGGUUCGAUUCCCGCCCGGGGCG
rnacentral:tRNA from 1 species